CAAGGUGCCACGCAGUGGGACUGAACCCGGAACCAUGUGGUUGGUAAGCAAGCUACUUACCACACAGCCACUCCUGCGCUUAUUAUUAUUACCCCCGCCCCCCAAAAAAAAGCAAUGCAGUAGUGUUUAUAUACUUUCAGAUACUAACAACUCAGGAAGGAAAAUGUAAUCUUGUUUAAGUGAUAAGUAAUAAUUAUGCAUUGGUUCUUUAGUGGUGUUAGUAAAGAAUAGGUUAAGCUCAACUUAUAAAAGUAGCAUAAAAUCACGUGAACAUUUAGCAUUAUAAAUCAAUAAUCGAAUAGGUUAAGCUCAGAAUACUUUCGGUAUCACUAUCCUUAUACAACCUUCAUAAUAGUGAUUAGAAUACUGGAUGGUCAUAAACUUUCGCGCCACAAGGGAGAUUACUCUUCAUACAAUAAGGAGCAUCACAUUUUAUGAAUUUUGUUCUGAAAGGCAUAACGAACUUAUUUAUUUGGAUGAAAUAUGACCCAUAUAUUUGGUCAUGAAGACUAUGUGAGAAAGAUUUAUUAUUGCCGUUAUUGAAAAUUUGUGAAACAAACGUAUUUGAUUUUUCUUUUAAAUUUUCACUCUGUUCAAACACGUUUUUUGUAGAAUAUAUUUUGUUUUUAAUUAAAGGAACGAUGAAUUGUAAUUAUCUUUAAAGAUUUCCAAACGUUGAGAUAUAUUGCAUGUUCAAAUAACAGAGACAGGUUUACACUUCUAUUAAAUAAAUGACCGUGUUCUCGCUUUCGAAAAAUUAUUGAAGAAUAGGAAACUGCAACACUUCUUUGUAAUAUAUAAAGAGUGAUCUCCCUUGUGAGGCGAAUGAGCCUGAAUGCCAGAUACUGAAUAAUUGUAUUUAUUUGAUCAACAUUCGUGAAGAAUAUGUUAAGCUACUAUUUCUAAUUCGUAUGGGAUUUAGAAAUAUUUGAAGAUAUUUAGUCAAUGUGGGAUGUCCUACUUUGACAAUAGUAAACUCUCGUUUUUAGGACUUCAGAAAAAAAAAACAAGAUCACUGAUUUUGAUUAUAGAAUAAACCUCAAAAACUAUUACAUAGGCUUCUUAAAAACUGAGCUAAUUUAAUUUAUCAGCAGAAGCUAAGUCACUUACGAUGAUAGUAAUAAUUCCUACAAGAAAAGAAUAAAUAUUUCAACAUUUCCAUUUCUUACAAAGUAAACUGAUUAUAUUUUUUCCAAUAAAUGGAAAAGUUUAUGUGAGAAAAUGUAAACUGACCAAAUAUUGGGUAACAACUUAGGUGAUAAUUACUUCCAGGUAAGUUGAUUACAUAAACAAUAAUUUACCUUAUCUAUUGGGUAAGAUGCAAUGGCUAUAUUUUGAAAUAGUUAUUCCAACAAAUGUUAAAAUAUGAAGAGAAAUGUAAAAUUGUAGUAUUCCUGCCUUUUACAAUGAGAAUUGAGAAAAAAUGUUAUGCAAUAUAGAUAUUAUAUAUAUAACUAUGAUUUCUUUUUCACAGGGUUCAAAAUCCUGUAUUUUAAGGGGGAUGGAAUACGAAAUAUUUUAAUGACUUUAGUUUGCUGGAAGAUUAUUUCAUUACAAUUAUGUAAAUAUGUAAUAUAUAGUAAAUGAAAGCAGUUCUGAAGGUGAGAAAUAUAAUUUAGAUUAGAAUACUAGUUGUACAAUGUAGUGGCUAUAUGAGGGCAUAUGAACAGGUAAUCAUUUUAUGUAUAAAAAACUUUAGAAGUAAGUGUGUAGUAGCUGCAGAAAAAAUUCUCUCUAUGAGAAAAUUUGUACCAUCAAAUAAACUAUUUAAAUGCAAUUAUAAAGCAGUUUUAGAAAAUCCAUUGGUAUUCAAUUUUAUUUGCUUUGCAAUCAUAACUGUAAGAAGUAGCAGAGUUUAUAUAUAUAUAUAUAUUUAUUGCAGUGAGUUUUAUUUAUAUGUUCAAGGAAGUAAUUAUUUUCAUUAGGUUUCCAUUGUAUCUCUCUUAAGAACUGUUGUAUGUUUGAGAUCUCACUUUAAGUCAAUAUGCAAUAAUUCUAUAUCUUAGUUUAUAACUUUGGUGCAGACUUUACGUUUCUGAAAAAUCACAACUGUUAUAAAUAAUACACAUCAUUGCUGAUUACAACUAUAGUUUUAAUCUAAUUAUAUUACUAAUCUACUGUAAUAAACCUAGAUACAGGGGGUCUGAUGCUCAAAUUUACAGUACAUACUUUGUUGAGCAUUUAUUUUGGGAAAAUAGAUUGAAGCAUGGUUUAAAAUGUGUGAGCUAAUAUUAACUGAAACCUUUAAUAGCAUAAUUGGACCUUGUAAAGCUUUAUUAGUAUUUUCACCAAUGCAUACGUACAACCUUCAGAAACCAGCUAUGUUGUUACAACAUAACAACAUACCUGGUUGCUAAGGGCUAUAUGUAUGCAUUGGUGAAAAUAAUUUGAUGGAACUUUACAAGGUCCCUAUAACAAGAUACCUUGAGUGUUAUAACAUCUAUAGAAUUAAAUUUCUUAUUGUUUAUUCAUUAAUAGUUUCACUGGCAGUGAUUUUAUUUUUUUUUUUUUUUUGCAAAUAAAAAUAUAAGGUAAACAUUUAUAUUGGCUUAAAAACAUACAUAAAAAUGCAGUCAGUGUUCCUUAUAUUUAAACUUUCAGGAGCAUACACUUAUGAUUAUAUUUAACAUAGGAUGAUGGUAUAUAGAUAAAUAUAUAUAUAACACCUUUUUGAUCUCCAUGUGUCUUAACACACGUGGACAUGCCUACAAAGUCAGAAAACAACACAGCUCCCAUGACUUUCGGAAACAUUUUUUCACGCUCAGAGUUGCUGAAGCAUGGAAUAAACUGCCUGCGUCAGUUGUUGACUGCCAUGACACUGCAUCCUUUAAGGCCCUCAUGCUUUCCGAAAUCCGCCGAAACUACACCUGAUUAUAUAUACACUUUAGAUGAGUUGUAGUGCACCUGAGCACUGUACACAAUUAUUAUUAUUAUUAUUAUUAUUAUAUAUAUAUAAUGUAUACAAGAUCUGAGUAUGAAAGAUUUGAGGAAAAAAUAAAAAGAGUACUAGAAAAAUUGACUGUGAGAUUCGUUUUUGUGAGAUUCGUUUUAGCAUGAGCUGCUAUUUGAAGGAAUAUAUAUACCAUGUACAGAAGCAUGUUAAUUCUGAACAAAGGCUUUUGUACUUUCAAGAGCUGCAAGUUUAUGUGGUUAGUGUUCCGUAAGAGGAAGAAUUGACAGCGAUUAUUGUGAAUGCUGAGGAGUUACAUUUUUGUUUAAUGGUUAGUGAAAGCAAAGUAUUCAUAUGCUUUUAAGACAGCUUGUAUACAGUGACCUAAUACCCUAAUAUGUAGGAAGUAAGGUUAAUAGAGUAUAAUACUUGGAUGUUCAGAUAUAAAUGAAAGUCACUGGGUGAAGUUUCAGAAUUUUUGUGAUUUGUAGAAAGAAUACAAGAUUUAGAGCAAUGGCUUAAGAGAUGAAGCCAUUUCCCAGCCUAUACUUUCCCCUUUCUUUCUCUCUCUACUAAGACAAAAAAGCAAAAAAAAAACCCCAAAAACAUACAAACAAAAAAAAACAUUAAAUAUUAAGAGUCAAAUUAUUAAUUAUUCUCUCUUUUACUUGAACAUGAACAAUGCAGUUUGUAUCAUUUGUUAAGAGGAUCAAAAUUAUGGUCUGACAGUUUAAGUGGUAGAAAGAUAGUAAAAUAGGCUUUUAUUUUUUUUUUUUGGAAUAUUUCCAGAUAUUUAAACUUUCCUACUUUUAACAGACAUAGGUAAUGUGAUAAUUCGUUUCUUGGAUAUCUCUGCAUUAAGCAAAAAUUCUUUUUAAGAAGAAGAACAAGAAGAAGCAUGUUGCGAAUUAUGGAGGAAGGAAGUGACACACAGACACACACACACAAUGGGUGUGAGGUAUAAGGAUUUACAAAAUACUAGAAAACCAUUUAGGCUAAUAUAGGAAGGAAAAGAAUUGCUCAGACAAAAUGCUUAAUCUUGGAUAGAGAUAAGAAUAAAUGGAAAAGUUUAUCACUUUAGAUUUGAAAAGAAAAGAUCAAACUCCUUUAAUUUCAAAAGAGUUUUGGAAAACAAUACAAUCAUUCAGGUUAUAUACAAGUUUAAAUAGCUAAAUAUAUCCCAUCAUAUUCUAAGAUCAUCAUCAUUUAAUGCUCAUGUUCUCUGUUAGCAUGGGUCGGACAGUUUGACAGGGUCUAAUGGGUCGCAGAACUGCAUCAUGCUCUAGUGUCCAUAUGCUUUCAAUGGCUGGAUGCCCUUUCUAAAAUCUACCACUUUACAGCACAUGCUGGGUGCUUUCUUUUUUUGUGUGCCAUUGGCACUAGUAAAGUUGUUAACAGCUUGUAAGACUACAAACAUCUGAGGUGGACACUGAAAACUAUGAUGCUUGACAAUGACUUGCUUAUGGUUCUUAUCCUAAAUUAAAACAAUAUAAGCAGUAGCUUAUACACUUAAUAAUAAAUGAAAAUGAAAAAAGACCAAGCAUUUUAUUCUCUGCAAAAUGUGACUGUCAUGAAAAUCCAGAAAUAAAUAAUAUGUAUUGCUUCAAAACAUUCUAAAUUGUAAGCAAUGAAGUGAGUUCAUGGCUCGCAGGACGGCCUGCUGUGCUAACCUUGGAUCGUAGGGUGACCCGCUGUUCUUGAGGAGACCUAUUGAGUCAAGUACGUUAACACCAACAUCAAAAUGAAAAUCAAAUGGAAAUUGUAGUGAAGACACCCGUGCCGGUGACACGUAAAAAGCACC
rnacentral:lncRNA from 1 species